rnacentral:lncRNA from 1 species
GAUGCACGGCCUGAGCGUGAGGAGAGAGGGUGUUAGAUCCACUCGUGGGAAGACCAGGGUCCAGGUCCAAGACCCAGGUCCACGUUCAUGGCUCCAUGAUUUAAUCACCUCGAGACCUGGGUUCAUGGCUUCCCUUUGCUGAGCUUCAACUCCCCUGCGGCAACAGGAACCCUGGCCUUAGAGACCUCGGGGACAGAGGCCACACCUGCCUGGACGCCCCCCACCCCGCCCCAGGAAGGAAGGGCUGCCCCCCAAAAGCUGACUCAGGAUCAGAAGGUAUGUACCUAAGAGAAAUAACACCUAUAUCCAUCGAAAGACUGGAAUGACAAUGGCCAAAAUGGCCAGGAAUGGAGAGAAUCCCUGCUGUCCAUCAACACAACGGGUGAAGCGAACUGUUCAGACACGAUGAAAUACUACUCAACAAUGAAAAAGAAGGAACUACUGAUACAAACGACACAGUGAAUCUCAAGGUUGCUAAACAGGUGGGCAGACAGAAAACGCCCCCUAAAGGCACCCAGUACUAACCCCAGAAACUGGGAGGAGGUCGGGUGCCCUGGCAAAGCGAAUUCAGGUUGCCGAGCUGCCGAGCUUAAAUAGGGAGAGGACCCUAAAUUAUCCAGGUGGGCCCAUGUGACCACAAGGGUCUUUAAGGGUCAAACAGAGGUGACGUUCCUGCUGUGGGGCCUCGGGUUCCGCAGCAGCAGCACCAGGUUCCGUCCCAGCCCGGCACAGUGGUUCAAGGAUCUGGCGUUGCUGCUGCAGCUGCUGCGAUGUCACAGCUGCGGCUCAGACCGGACUCCUGGCCCGGGAACAGGGGUGGAGGCUGGGCUGGCGGGGCUGGCUUGGAAGACGGAGGUUUAACACUGAUACGAGUGUAUACUGGGCUCUCAUUUCCUGGCUCAUGGCUCCCAAACGCUUAUCAUCACCUAGGCGACUAGAGCGUGAGGGACACCUCUCGUUAUAACAUUUGGUUUUUGUCCUUGGUUCCUGAAAUAGCUGUGAAAUAAUGUCGGGAAAAUGGGGGUUUUUCAUAAGAAACCUAUGAGUUCAUGCUCAGGGGGUGACUUCUGGAAAGCUGCCCAGAACACUUUAGGGCUGAUUGAUGAGAAGGCCGGUCGAUUAGAAGGUUGGAACUUUCAGCCCCACCCCUGACCAGGAAGGGGAGGGCCUGGGAGGUUGACUUAAUCACCAGUAGCCAAAAGCUGAAGUCCUGCCUCUGUAAUGACGCCUUCGUAAAAAACAAAAACGAAGGGGUUCGGGGAGCCUACCAGUUGGUGAACAAAACUGCAUCCACACUCCCCGUGGACAGAAGCUCCAGCACGUGGGACCCUUCUGGACCACAGCCCGUGUACCUCUUGGUCUGGCCAUCCAGCCGUAGCCUUUAACAUCCUUGCAAUGAUGUGGGUUUUCUAAGGUGUUUUGAUUCUAUAGACUUAAAGGAAAACACACAACUAGGAGUUGAGAGUUUGGGUUUUAUCUGGGGAGCUCACUGUGGACUUCAGCCCGGGAGACGGGCUCUCGGUAGCUCUGAGGAACUGCUCUGAAGAGGCAGGACAGGGGCCAGCAGCUGUGAGUCUGGUCCAGGGAAGGCACAUGCCAUCCAGGACACAGCUUGGAGUUCCCGUCGUUGCUCCGCAGAAACGAACCUGACUAGUAUCCAUGAGGACACAGAUUCGAUCCCUAGCCUCUCGAAGCGGGUGGAGGAUCUGGUGUUGCUGUGAGCUGUGGUGUAGGCUCUCCAAUGCUGUGAUUCUCACUGCCCUUCCUGCUGGGCGCUGCCACAGAAUAGUGCUUCAUAACAAGCCGAUACUCUAGUAAGUGACUGUCUUCCUGAGGUCGUGAGCCACGCUGGCAAGUCAACUGUGCCCCAGGAGGGGGCUCCAGGAACCUCCGUCGUACAGCCAGUCAUAGAUGCACAGGCGACUACCUGGACUUGCAACUGGCACCUGAAGCUCGGGGGUGCAGGCGGCCUUGAGGAACUGAGCCCUUAGGCUGCGGAUGACGGACCGAAUCAGAGCACACCCAGCUGGUGGUGCAGCGUCACCUGGGGUUGGGGGAAAUAAACAGAAGCGGAGUGCAGAGUAUUCGGUGGGAAGUGAGUCAGGGAAACCUUUUAUCUAUACAGGGGGCCAUGAGCCAAGAAAGGCAGGCAGCUCUAGAAGCUAGAGAGGGCAGGAAACAGACUCCCCCUCCCGCCUCCAGAGAGAACAGCCUGCAGACACCUCGAUUCUAGCCCAGCGAGACUCAGGACAGACGUCCAUCGAAGAAAGUUUUAGGGUGAUAAAUGUGUGUUGUUUAAACGGCUAAAUUUGCAAUAAUUUCUAACAGCAGCCGUAGAAAUCUAAUACAGCUAACGAAGAGAAUUUCCACGUGGAAUCGCAAAUACUAUAUGAUUCCAACUUUGUAAAGCCCAAGAAUAGGCCAAUGUAAUCUACCAUGGGAAAAACAAACCAAAACAGAACAGAACAGUGGUUCUGUGUGGGAAUGGGGUGGAGAGGAGCUGGGAGCCAGAGGGAACCUCUGAAUUGAUGGUGCUGCUCUAUGCACUGAUAAGGUCAGCAAAGUGUACGCAUUUAUCCAAACGCGGGGAAUAGGAGUUCCCGUCGUGGCUCAGUGGGAAGGAAGCCGACUAGGAUCCACGAGGACGCGGGGAUCGAACCUGCAACCUCACUGUUCCUAGUUGGAUUCGUUUCCGCUGUGCCACAAUGGGAACUCCAUAAUUUUUUUUUUAAAGUUGGUUGCGCCCACAGCAUGUGGAAAUUCCCAGGCCAGGAACUGAACCCAAGGCACAGCAGUGACUAUGCCAAAUCCCCAACUUUCAGGCUACCAGGGAACUCCCAUGGCUAAAUUUUAUUUCCUUCCUUCUAUUGGUAUCUUAUAAGCUUCCCUCAAUAACCAUGGGUUCUAUCAUGAUUGAAAGGUUAUUCUUUAAAAGCCAGUGCCAAUGGCAGCCUUUUCGCCGUGGAUGGGGACUUUCGGAUCCCACGAAGGCCGGCAAGAACCACGUGGAGACACAACCACAGGGCUUUGGAGAACAGGCGCUGGCACUCUCCCGACAGGUUCUCAACCAGCGCUGCCUCAUCUUCUGAAAACGGGACAAGGUGACACUGGAAUUGGAAGGCUUUUCAUCUGCAGACUUGCAUGGGGUCUCGGAGGGGAAAGUGUGGUAAGGGGACAGACGGUGCUUGACGAGGGGACUCCACAGAAGGGUCUGGAAAGAAGAGUGGGAGGAAGCCCAGGGUGUGCUUGUGGGGCGUGGCUCCGAGGCCCUUGAUGGGGAGGCGUGCCUCUUGUCCCUGCAUCCCCUGCCUGGGGAAGGAUGCUGCACAUCUCCAGAACUGGCGACAGAGACCCUCGGCCCUGGCCUUGGCCAGCCCGGCUACGCUUCCAGAUAAAGCCAAGACUUUGCACCUGACACCCAGCACUUAGCUUGAGUCCUGCUGGUCAGGGGGUAGCUCCCCUUUACAGACUUAACCCGGGGUCGGAAUGGCCAAGUGACUGGCCCAGGGUCACUCAUAUUUGUGUAGAACAAAACUUAACGCUAUUGGUCUCUCAUCCAGAAUAUUUCUUCAUGCCUGCAGUCUUGGCUGAAGAAAAUUUACAUAAGACCCUCUGCUCUUUUACAAAGAGAGAAAAAUGGGUAAAAUUAAUUGAGAUCCUUGCAUUCUACUUUCCAGCAAACACCCUAAAAAAAGUUUGCCCUAAAAAAAGUCAGUGAAGGCCUAUCUAUUCUGAAAGAGCAAGAAAACACAAUGCUUCCUUCCACGAAUAACACAUGAACACUACAGCUCAUUUUCUCUAAAAGACGGACUCUGCUUCCGGGGGAAACAGGCAAACGGGCAGAGCUGAAGAAGCACCAGACGAUACAGUUUCUCCUGUCAAAGCCCCGGACACAUGAGGCUCAGUGAAUGGGAGAAAACUCCACACACACGCGGGCGCUGAGUGCUGGCCGGAGGGUGUCCUCACCAAAGCUCAGGUCCACCUGCAACGUGUGCCGGUGACCUUGCUUGGAAAGGGCUUUAAAGAUGGGAUAGGAUGAGGCCACAUGGGAAGAGCAAGGCCCUCCUCUGAUGACCGGGCUCCUUCCGAGCAGAGGGACAUGUGGGCACAGACGUGGAGGAAAGGCCACAUGGACGCGGACAGGGGCUGGAGUGGGGCGGCCACCAGCCGGCAGCGCCUGCAAAUGCUGGACGGCGCCCCCAGCAUCUCCAGAGAGGACGCGGCUCUGCCCACCCUGGAUUUCAGACUUGUGGCCUCCGGGACCAGGAGAGAAUCGUCUCCUGGUCCUUUAAGGCCCGCGGUUUGCGGUGAUCUGCGACGACAGCCCCAGGACACUGACAGAGGCAAGACCUCCAUUCCUGGGACCUGCCAGACCAGCGGCCUCAGAGGCCACGAGACAGGGAGGCAGCGAGCGCCCAGCUCCAGGCAGGUUCCUACAGCGCCUGCACGUCUCCUGCACGUUGACAGAGCCGCCCCGCUCCCGCUCGCAGGCAGAGCCGAACGUCUAACAGUGUUUGUCUAACACACAACCAGGGUGGAAGACGGCCUGACGCCCCGAGCACCAACCUGAUUCUUGUCCUGUGACUCCUGAGCGUUGGAGGUUUGGGCCAGCAUCACGCCCCCUGGGAGGGAGAUGAGACGCGUGGGCUGGAGGGAGGGCAGAGGGGCCAAGAAGGCCCGAGACGUUCUGUCUCAUCCCCCCUGCCCGCAGGCUGUGCUUCACGGGCUCCCAGAGCCGCCACACUGGGCCCUGUCCCAUCUGUCUUCCCUGAGCCAGGGCCACGUGCAGCCUUGUCCUCCUCUGGCAGCAUCUCGGCUGGUGCCACCUGAGGUCAGAACCCCCCCAAACUGAGGGGGGCCUUUGCCAGGCAUCGCUCACCAAGAAUAGCUCCUCAUGGAUUUCUGAGCAGGCCCCCACUUUAAUUUUCCUCCCGGCGUUGAGAGAGCAAACGCUGAGUCCAUCACCAAAUGUCUGUGUUUCAGGACAAGAGACACGAGACACGAAGCGAGAGCCUUGCUGUCAGAGGGCAUUUCUCACCCUCUCGCUAGACAUGGCCCUGUCUCCGGGUCUGGCAGCUGGAUGUGAAGGGGACACGUCCUUCCCAGCAGAGCCAUUAACAGUGGCUGCCUUCACCUCUCCUCCCAACUGCUGGCCGGAAGGCUGAACCUGAGUCAGAAUUCAAGGGCAUCUUUGAGCUCGGAUGCCAGGAAAAAAUCACAUCUUUAUUUCAAACCUUGACCUGGUCUUUCUGUUGCCUUCAACUGUGAACACAGGUUAAAAAAAAAAAAA